rnacentral:rRNA from 1 species
UACGUAGGGUGCGAGCGUUAAUCGGAAUUACUGGGCGUAAAGCGUGCGCAGGCGGUUCGUUGUGUCGGUGGUGAAAGCCCCGGGCUCAACCUGGGAAUGGCCAUGGAAACUGGCGAACUGGAGUGUGGCAGAGGGGGGUGGAAUUCCGCGUGUAGCAGUGAAAUGCGUAGAGAUGUGGAGGAACACCGAUGGCGAAGGCAGCCCCCUGGGUUAACACUGACGCUCAGGCACGAAAGCGUGGGGAGCAAACAGG